GAAAUGCAAAUCGAACAUAACUAGAUGCAAAUAAUACAAUAUAAAGAAACCGACGCACGUCUAGCCAACAUGCCAAAGCUUUCGCUACUGCUGGGCAGACUCUGGAGCGUGGAAGGUGUUGAUUCAUCGCGCGUAAUGACACUUGAGAAAGAGAGCAAGGACUUUACCGUGGAUGACAUGCGUUUGAAGGGAUCAACGUUGAGAGUGGGUUUCACGGUUUCUAAAGUUAGGUGGCAGGUACGGUCGAACCCUCGCUUUGCCCUCAGUGGUUGAGUGUCGCGUGAGUAACUUUACCAAUUUUUUUUUCUCAUUUCAUUAUUUCAUUUCACUCUCUGUUUUCACUUUCUCGUUUCACUCUCUGAUUUCACUCUCCCUCAGUUUUCCCUCUUUCACGGUCAUUCUCGCAUUUCACCCUCGUUCUCAUUUUUCACUCUUCACAAUUGGUGCCAUUGCAACUCGUAAGAAAAUUUCUCUCUCAUUUCACUAUCCCUCUCAUUUCACAGUCUCUGAUUUUCUUUCUUUGCUGCUUCAAUGCUGCAUUGUAGGUUCCAUUAUUUUCGAAGUGGCAGUGGUGAAGUAUAGAUAGUGGAAGACGAACGAACCUUGCAGAUUUUUUGUCUUUGUAGAAGUUGAGUUGAUUGAGAGCAUUGCUGAUUGAAAUGUUAGUUUAUUUUUUGGUGAUUUUUGUACAAAUGAUCCUUCAUUUUUUUAAUUAAUUUGAUCAAUAAUAUGUGAGAUGAUUUGUUAUUUAACCAGAACAUUGAUAUUGGUCUCACUUAUGUUUAUCAGAACGCAGAUGCCUAAUUUGUAAUGGAUUUGCUUAUUUAUCAUUAUUUUAAGUUUUUAAA
rnacentral:lncRNA from 1 species